ensembl:misc_RNA Metazoa_SRP Metazoan signal recognition particle RNA
GCUGGGCAUGGUGGUGCAUGCCUGUAAUCCUAGCUACUUGGGAGGCUGAGGUGGGAGGAUUGCUUGAGCCCAGGAGAUAGAGGCUGCAGUGAGCUGUGAUCGCACUACUGCACUCCAGCCUGGGUGACAGAGUGAGACCCUGUCUCUA